UACGGGGGGGGCAAGCGUUGUUCGGAAUUACUGGGCGUAAAGGGCCAGUAGGCGGCCAACUAAGUCCGACGUGAAAUCCCAAGGCUUAACCUUGGAACUGCGUCGGAUGCUGGAUGGCUUGAAUUCGGGAGAGGGAUGCAGAAUUCCAGGUGUAGCGGUGAAAUGCGCAGAUAUCAGGAGGAACACCGAUGGCGAAGGCAGGUCUCUGGGCAUUAACUGACGCUGGAGGAGCGAAAAGCAUGGGGGAGCGAACAGG
rnacentral:rRNA from 1 species